rnacentral:rRNA from 1 species
AAAGGGCGCAAGCCUGAUGCAGCGACGCCGCGUGGGGGAUGACGGCCUUCGGGUUGUAAACUCCUUUCGUCAGGGAAGAAGCCUUUUGGGGUGACGGUACCUGGAGAAGAAGCACCGGCUAACUACGUGCCAGCAGCCGCGGUAAUACGUAGGGUGCGAGCGUUGUCCGGAAUUAUUGGGCGUAAAGAGCUUGUAGGCGGUUUGUCGCGUCUGCGGUGAAAACCCGGGGCUUAACCUUGGGCGAGCCGUGGGUACGGGCAGGCUAGAGUGUGGUAGGGGAGGCUGGAAUUCCUGGUGUAGCGGUGAAAUGCGCAGAUAUCAGGAGGAACACCGAUGGCGAAGGCAGGUCUCUGGGCCAUUACUGACGCUGAGAAGCUAAAGCAUGGGGAGCGAA